UACUAAUCGAACUGAGGCCUUUUAAGGCAACAAGGCGUUGUUCUAAAGUACUGCUCAGAAAGACAUGCCAGAUUGAACAUAUACUGUUUAAAUUUAUUGGAUCCUUGUCCAGUCAAUAAGAUAAUUGUCCAGUCAAUGUGAACCUUGUCCAAUCAAUGUGAACCUUAUGCAGUCUAGUUGCUAUUUAAGGGAGAUAACACACAAACAUUGAUAUGUUUAAAAGAAACAUUCACAACAGUUAACGAGAAAAAAUAUAUACAGAUGAAGUACAGAUGAAGUAUUAUUAAGUGAUGCAUAUAUUGUACGUAUAUCAGACUGGACAGUAAAACAAAAGAAUUUAGAAAUCGUAUUUUGCUGCUUCUCCAAAAUGAGGUCUGCGGAAGUGCAAUUGAUUGUCUUGUGUUUGAUGGAAAAAAUCACACCCUGUUUGUACAAUACCUCAUUUAGGUUAUAAUGGAAAAUUGGAAUAAGAAACUUUGUACAGCUUCUAGGAAGGGAGAUAUAGAAGAUGUGAAAAUAUGCCUAGAGAAUAAAGCAGACAUUGAUUAUCAAGAUGU